GUCCAGCCAGUGCGCCGUGCCUAGAACUUCACAGCUUGAUGUCUACUGAGACUUCCUUGCCUCAAGACCUCAUUUCUGAGCACAGAGAAGAAGUCAAGACAUGGUGGUUUACUACGUGAGGCGGGGAGCUAACCUGUGCAGCAUAUCCACACUAAUUCAUUCCAACUGCAGAGCUCACCCCGACUUAUGUGGUUGUGUUCUUGUUACUCUCGAAACUGCUUCCAAGCCACAUGGUGUAACGUCUUUAACAAAAGAUUGCUGAUCGCCAGGUCAUUCCACCGCUGCGGUUCUCAGCGUACCAGAACUGGACAGCAGAGUGGGCUUCACUGCGUCAACACACUCCUCCAGCCCAGAGCCCACACUCUUCAGUAGGGGUCGGCUUGCCCCCCUCUCUGUUGAUUUAUUGAAGUAGGAGGAGCAACAGCCUCCAAGAGGGAGUGGCGGCUUUGCUUCUCUUACACCAGUGACGAUGACAUGUGCCUGGGACCUCAUAUCUGCUGACUACCAAGACCUUUCUCCAUUGCCUCGUUGGUCCUUGCCAGCUUCUCAGGCACAGGAUGGAGUUCAGGCAGCAGGGCAGCCGUGAGGUUUAAAGGCCUCCUCUGCCUUCACGGUCAGCUCUGCAAAUGAGCCCAGGCUCUAAAAAGUUGGAUUUUUCUGGAAGACACAGACUUCAAGCUGGAAUGGGGAGAGCACUUAAACACUCAACAUGCAGAGGCCCUGUGCUUCAGCUGAUCUAGAAGUAUGAAGGCCUUGUGUAGGCAGUAACAUGCCUACAAAGGUUUGAAGCAUCAUGAAAUACCCCAAUUCAUAAUUCUACACUUUCAUAUACAAGGCACAUUAUA